UACGUAGGGUGCGAGCGUUGUCCGGAAUUAUUGGGCGUAAAGAGCUCGUAGGCGGCUUGUCACGUCGGUUGUGAAAGCCCGGGGCUUAACCCCGGGUCUGCAGUCGAUACGGGCAGGCUAGAGUUCGGUAGGGGAGAUCGGAAUUCCUGGUGUAGCGGUGAAAUGCGCAGAUAUCAGGAGGAACACCGAUGGCGAAGGCAGGUCUCUGGGCAUUAACUGACGCUGAGGAGCGAAAGCAUGGGGAGCGAACAGG
rnacentral:rRNA from 1 species